GUGGUCUCGUGUUCUAAAUUUACCAAACGACGAAGCUCCAGUGAGAGCUCACCGGAGAAGACGACCGGAGUUUUUUCAGGUUUUCUAUGUUUGGCCAGACACGUUGGAGGAACGAAAUAUUCUAAUUGGUUGGAUUUGAAAUGGAUCCUAACAUGUGGAGUGUUGGAUCUGCCACAUCAAUUAAAUAAGGCGUUAUCCAACGCUGCAUGUUUUUUUUCUUCUGAUUUU
rnacentral:lncRNA from 1 species